rnacentral:lncRNA from 1 species
CAAGAAAGUAUCGUUUUGAUUUCUUGAGUCUCGUCAGGCUUACACAAGUGUAUAUCAGUUUGUGGGUCUGAUUUAUUCUUAUUCUAAGAGUGUUUUGUUUUGUUUUAAGAAUAUAGUUUUCUUUUUUUUAUUAUUUAUUUUUCUUUUUCUUUUUUUUUUCUUUUUGUCUUUUGCGGGCUUGUUUGGCGGUUUAUUUUUGUAGGGCCCGCAAUUGUGUAUACUCUAUGUCAUGUAUGUGUAUAAAUUAUUUGUUAAAUGAACUUGUACAAUAAUUUUCGGCCAAAAUAAAAGUUUUAUUUAUCUUGUUUUAUAUUCUGAGCCAAAGAUAAUUGUAUAGUUUUUAAUUCUAAAAACGCAUAAUUAUAUGCGAAGUUCGUUUUCUUCGACAUUUCGUAAUUCUCCACUAUCUAUAGU